AUUGAACGCUAGCGGGAUGCCUUACACAUGCAAGUCGAACGGCAGCAUAAGAGAGCUUGCUCUCUUGAUGGCGAGUGGCGAACGGGUGAGUAAUGUAUCGGAACGUGCCCAGUAGCGGGGGGUAACUACGCGAAAGCGUAGCUAAUACCGCAUACGCCCUACGGGGGAAAGGAGGGGAUCCGCAAGGACCUUUCACUAUUGGAGCGGCCGAUAUCGGAUUAGCUAGUUGGUGAGGUAAGGGCUCACCAAGGCGUCGACGGGUAGCCGGCCUGAGAGGGUGACCGGCCACAUUGGGACUGAGAUACGGCCCAG
rnacentral:rRNA from 1 species